CCUACGGGUGGCAGCAGUAGGGAAUAUUGCUCAAUGGGGGAAACCCUGAAGCAGCAACGCCGCGUGAAGGAUGAAGGCUUUAGGAUUGUAAACUUCUUUUGUGAGAGACGAUAAUGAUGGUAUUUCCUGAAUAAGAACCGGCUAAUGCCGAGCCAGCAGCCGCGGCAAUACGGAGGGUGCAAGCGUUAUUCGGAAUCACUGGGCGUAAAGAGUGCGCAGGCGGGCUUGGAGGUCAGAUGUGAAAUCCUGUAGCUUAACUACAGGACUGCAUUUGAAACUAUGAGUCUAGAGUGUGGGAGAGGUAGGUGGAAUUCUUGGUGUAGGGGUGAAAUCCGUAGAUAUCAAGAGGAAUACUCAUUGCGAAGGCGACCUACUGGAACAUUACUGACGCUGAUGCGCGAAAGCGUGGGGAGCAAACAGGAUUAGAUACCCCUGUAGUC
rnacentral:rRNA from 1 species